rnacentral:siRNA from 1 species
CAUCAGAGCGGUGCUGGCCGC